rnacentral:rRNA from 1 species
GCUUGAAUGUGUUAGCAUGGAAUAAUGAAAUAUGACUUUAGUCCUAUUUUCGUUGGUUUAGGUACUUCAGUAAUGAUGAAUAGAAACGGUUAGGGGCAUUUGUAUUUGGUCGCUAGAGGUGAAAUUCUUGGAUUG